AGAGGUCUCACCUCUCACCAAGAUACACCCAGAGCCUAUCAAGAAUAGUCCCCACCAUUAAUGGUCUGUUCUUCCUGGGUGUUCACCAAUGAGUGACAGAAGAAGAGAACUGGAUUCUGAUCUUGAUGAUUUUGAAGGCAGUUCAUUAACGUGAUUUGCUACAGAUCCAGCCAACGUAUCCAAGAGUUGACUGUGUAAACAGUGCUUCCAAAAUAGGAAGCCCAUUUAACGGAACUCAAAGUCUUCUAGGGAAAGAACACACGCGGACAGAUGUGAUGAUGAAGUAGACAGCAGACAGCACCUCUGCCGAGGCCCUACCUAGGCAACCCGCCCUUCCAGUAAUAAACCCCACCUCCUGGAAUCCCAGGUGGUAAUCUAGGACUCAGGCUGGAUUUAUCUGAGUCCUUCUCUAAGAUUUUCUAAACCUGAUGUAGUUUAGAGUAGCUUCUUUUCUUUCUGGAUUAGGUGAUAGAAUGUGAGUUCAGAGCUGAGUAUAGUCACGCCCCUGACAACAUGGAGUAAAGCUGGUUUGAGACAAUGGCUGUCUCAAAGCAAAGCAGAAAAAAGGUAAAGAAAGAGGGUCCUGACAAACAGUUUCUGGAUCUAGGCAUCUAAUCUCCUUCUGUGGUUUGGUUACUAGAACCAAUUAAUUUGCUUGGUCAAGACUUGGUUUCUGUUAGUAGCAAUCUGAUUAAUAAACAUCAUUGUUGUUCUGAUGGAUGUGUGAACUAAGACUGUUCCUAUCAAAAGACACAAUAAUUUCACUUUUAGAAAUACAGUUGACCCUCAUUAUUCACAGAUUCUGUACUCAUGAAUCCACCAACUCACUAAAAUUUAUUUGUAACCCAAAAUUAAUACUAGAAGCACUUUCCUGGUCAUUCAUACACACAUAAAGAGGGGUGAAAAUUUUGAAUCUCCUGUACUGUAAACAAGUUUUCUUUUUAUGGUCUAUUUAGUACCACUUUCUUUUUUCAUUUUUGUGUUUUUUUGUUUGUGAUUUUUCUGUUUCAAAUGGCCCCCAAGCAUUGUGCUGCCUAGUGUUCCUAUGUGUGGGAAGGCUGUGAUAUACCUUACAGAGAAACUUGUAGUAGACAAGCUUUGUCCAGGCACGAGUUAAGGUGCUGUUGGUCAUGAGCUCAAUGUUAUUGAAUCAACAAUAUAUACUACAUAAGAUAUCUUUAAACAGAAACAUACAUGAAACAAGGUUGUCUGCCGAUCAGUUGACAAAAAUAUGACUACAGGUUUGCAGAAACCUAACCCUGUAAUUCUGCAAGAACGAUGCUCAGUAUUCACUAAUUCAGUAUUCAUAGCAACUGCAUAGAACAUUAACUGUCGUGAAUGGCUAUAUACGUUAAGGAAAUAGUCACCACCACUUAAAAAAUUAAUCACAUUUACUGAGAUGUUCAUAGAAGCACUAUUUAUAUUAAUGAACAGCUGGAGAAAAG
rnacentral:lncRNA from 1 species